rnacentral:lncRNA from 1 species
UUAUAAUAAUAUGACUACCCUAUCCUUAGCUCUUCGCUGCUUGCCUAACCUAACCCUUCGCACAUAUAUAUACUGCUAUACAAUUACAAUAUAUCGAAGCCUAACCCUAACCCGGUAACCCUGCCUGCGCUGCGCAGCUUCUUCUUCGAUCUUCUUCGGUUCUUCGUUUCCUCAUAUUUCAGGUAAGCUUCCUCAUAUUUCAGGUCAGCUUUAUCGUCAUUUUUUCGCCA